GACGAACGCUGGCGGCGUGCUUAACACAUGCAAGUCGAACGGUGAAGCGCCUUCCUUUUUGGUGGGUGUGGAUGAGUGGCGAACGGGUGAGUAACACGUGAGUAACCUGCCCCCUUCUUCUGGAUAACCGCAUGAAAGUGUGGCUAAUACGGGAUAUUCUGGGUCUGUCGCAUGAUGGGUCUGGGAAAGAUAUUGUUUCGGUGGGGGAUGGGCUCGCGGCCUAUCAGCUUGUUGGUGGGGUGAUGGCCUACCAAGGCGGUGACGGGUAGCCGGCCUGAGAGGGUGGACGGUCACACUGGGACUGAGACACGGCCCAGACUCCUACGGGAGGCAGCAGUGGGGAAUAUUGCACAAUGGGCGCAAGCCUGAUGCUGCGACGCCGCGUGAGGGAUGGAGGCCUUCGGGUUGUGAACCUCUUUCGCCAGUGAAGCAGGCCUGCCUCGUUUGUGGGUGGGUUGACGGUAGCUGGAUAAGAAGCGCCGGCUAACUACGUG
rnacentral:rRNA from 1 species